UGGGGAAUAUUGGACAAUGGGCGGAAGCCUGAUCCAGCCAUGCCGCGUGUGUGAAGAAGGCCUUUUGGUUGUAAAGCACUUUAAGCGAGGAGGAGGCUACUUGGAUUAAUACUCUAGGAUAGUGACGUUACUCGCAGAAUAAGCACCGGCUAACUCUGUGCCAGCAGCCGCGGUAAUACAGAGGGUGCGAGCGUUAAUCGGAUUUACUGGGCGUAAAGCGUGCGUAGGCGGCUUCUUAAGUCGGAUGUGAAAUCCCUGAGCUUAACUUAGGAAUUGCAUUCGAUACUGGGAAGCUAGAGUAUGGGAGAGGAUGGUAGAAUUCCAGGUGUAGCGGUGAAAUGCGUAGAGAUCUGGAGGAAUACCGAUGGCGAAGGCAGCCAUCUGGCCUAAUACUGACGCUGAGGUACGAAAGCAUGGGGAGCAAACAGG
rnacentral:rRNA from 1 species